CCUACGGGAGGCUGCAGUGAGGAAUAUUGGUCAAUGGGCGCGAGCCUGAACCAGCCAAGUCGCGUGAGUGAAGACGGUCCUAUGGAUUGUAAACCUCUUUUGUCGGGGCGCAAAAGACGCCACGCGUGGCGUUCCGAGAGUACCCGAAUAAAAAGCAUCGGCUAACUCCGUGCCAGCAGACGCGGUAAUACGGAGGAUGCGAGCGUUAUCCGGAUUUAUUGGGUUUAAAGGGUGCGCAGGCGGAAGAUCAAGUCAGCGGUAAAAUUGAGGGGCUCAACCUCUGCGAGCCGUUGAAACUGGUUUUCUGGAGUGAGCGAGAAGUAUGCGGAAUGCGAGGUGUAGCGGUGAAAUGCAUAGAUAUCACGCAGAACACCGAGUGCGAAGGCAGCAUACCGGCGCUCAACUGACGCUCAUGCACGAAAGUGUGGGUAUCGAACAGGAUUAGAUACCCGGGUAGUC
rnacentral:rRNA from 1 species